rnacentral:rRNA from 1 species
UACGUAGGGUGCAAGCGUUAAUCGGAAUUACUGGGCGUAAAGCGUGCGCAGGCGGUUAUGCAAGACAGAUGUGAAAUCCCCGGGCUCAACCUGGGAACUGCAUUUGUGACUGCAUGGCUGGAGUGCGGCAGAGGGGGAUGGAAUUCCGCGUGUAGCAGUGAAAUGCGUAGAUAUGCGGAGGAACACCGAUGGCGAAGGCAAUCCCCCUGGGCCUGCACUGACGCUCAUGCACGAAAGCGUGGGGAGCAAACAGG